AACCCGUACAACAACCUGAUCUUCAUCUGGGGCAACUUCCUCCUGCAGAGCUCUAACAAGGAAAACUUCAUCUACCUGGCAGACUUCCCCAAGGAACUGUCCAUCAAAUACAUGGCCAGAUCGUUCCAUGGGGCUGUGGCUAUUGUCACAGAGACGGAGGAGGUGGGCUGCCCCGCCCCUCUCCCCAUUCCCUCUCUGCCCACCCCCAAACCCCAGGGGCCUCUCUUUCCCCUGUCACAGUAAAGGAGCCAAGGGAAGGGGGCACCCUCAGGGACCCUGAGAAAGGGCAGUGAAGCUCCAUUUAUAACUGAAACCCCUGGAACUCAGGGUAAGUGUCAGCUCCAAAGUCACGCAGACCGGAGCUAUGAUCUGAUGUUCAGAGGCGGCCCUCUUUCAUCCCACAGUGUGGUCGUUCACUUCAUAAAUAUUGAGCAUUUA
rnacentral:sRNA from 1 species